rnacentral:rRNA from 1 species
GAUGAACGCUGGCGGCGUGCCUAAUACAUGCAAGUCGAGCGAACAGACGAGGAGCUUGCUCCUCUGACGUUAGCGGCGGACGGGUGAGUAACACGUGGAUAACCUACCUAUAAGACUGGGAUAACUUCGGGAAACCGGAGCUAAUACCGGAUAACAUGUUGAACCGCAUGGUUCAACAGUGAAAGACGGUUUUGCUGUCACUUAUAGAUGGAUCCGCGUCGCAUUAGCUAGUUGGUAAGGUAACGGCUUACCAAGGCAACGAUGCGUAGCCGACCUGAGAGGGUGAUCAGCCACACUGGAACUGAGACACGGUCCAGACUCCUACGGGAGGCAGCAGUAGGGAAUCUUCCGCAAUGGGCGAAAGCCUGACGGAGCAACGCCGCGUGAGUGAAGAAGGUCUUCGGAUCGUAAAGCUCUGUUAUUAGGAAAGAACAAAUGUGUAAGUAAAUAUGCACGUCUUGACGGUACCUAAUCAGAAAGCAACGGCUAACUACGUG